rnacentral:rRNA from 2 species
AGAGUUUGAUCCUGGCUCAGAUUGAACGCUGGCGGCAGGCCUAACACAUGCAAGUCGAACGGUAACAGGAAGCAGCUUGCUGCUUCGCUGACGAGUGGCGGACGGGUGAGUAAUGUCUGGGAAACUGCCUGAUGGAGGGGGAUAACUACUGGAAACGGUGGCUAAUACCGCAUAACGUCGCAAGACCAAAGAGGGGGACCUUCGGGCCUCUUGCCAUCAGAUGUGCCCAGAUGGGAUUAGCUAGUUGGUGAGGUAACGGCUCACCAAGGCGACGAUCCCUAGCUGGUCUGAGAGGAUGACCAGCCACACUGGAACUGAGACACGGUCCAGACUCCUACGGGAGGCAGCAGUGGGGAAUAUUGCACAAUGGGCGCAAGCCUGAUGCAGCCAUGCCGCGUGUAUGAAGAAGGCCUUCGGGUUGUAAAGUACUUUCAGCGGGGAGGAAGGUGUUGUGGUUAAUAACCGCAGCAAUUGACGUUACCCGCAGAAGAAGCACCGGCUAACUCCGUGCCAGCAGCCGCGGUAAUACGGAGGGUGCAAGCGUUAAUCGGAAUUACUGGGCGUAAAGCGCACGCAGGCGGUCUGUCAAGUCGGAUGUGAAAUCCCCGGGCUCAACCUGGGAACUGCAUUCGAAACUGGCAGGCUUGAGUCUUGUAGAGGGGGGUAGAAUUCCAGGUGUAGCGGUGAAAUGCGUAGAGAUCUGGAGGAAUACCGGUGGCGAAGGCGGCCCCCUGGACAAAGACUGACGCUCAGGUGCGAAAGCGUGGGGAGCAAACAGGAUUAGAUACCCUGGUAGUCCACGCCGUAAACGAUGUCUACUUGGAGGUUGUGCCCUUGAGGCGUGGCUUCCGGAGCUAACGCGUUAAGUAGACCGCCUGGGGAGUACGGCCGCAAGGUUAAAACUCAAAUGAAUUGACGGGGGCCCGCACAAGCGGUGGAGCAUGUGGUUUAAUUCGAUGCAACGCGAAGAACCUUACCUGGUCUUGACAUCCACAGAACUUUCCAGAGAUGGAUUGGUGCCUUCGGGAACUGUGAGACAGGUGCUGCAUGGCUGUCGUCAGCUCGUGUUGUGAAAUGUUGGGUUAAGUCCCGCAACGAGCGCAACCCUUAUCCUUUGUUGCCAGCGGUCCGGCCGGGAACUCAAAGGAGACUGCCAGUGAUAAACUGGAGGAAGGUGGGGAUGACGUCAAGUCAUCAUGGCCCUUACGACCAGGGCUACACACGUGCUACAAUGGCGCAUACAAAGAGAAGCGACCUCGCGAGAGCAAGCGGACCUCAUAAAGUGCGUCGUAGUCCGGAUUGGAGUCUGCAACUCGACUCCAUGAAGUCGGAAUCGCUAGUAAUCGUGGAUCAGAAUGCCACGGUGAAUACGUUCCCGGGCCUUGUACACACCGCCCGUCACACCAUGGGAGUGGGUUGCAAAAGAAGUAGGUAGCUUAACCUUCGGGAGGGCGCUUACCACUUUGUGAUUCAUGACUGGGGUGAAGUCGUAACAAGGUAACC